GGUGAACCUGCGGAAGGAUCAUUACCGAUGUGAAAAAUCCAAGGUUAAACAUCAUUAACCAGUGUGAACUGUGAAACAACUCUUUAGGGGUCGGCACAGGCGUGUGUCGUUAAAUGGCGGAUAGGUUCCUUCCGCCAGCCCCGCCAUUGUGUUUAUGAUAUCACUUUGAACGUUUAAGACUGAGAACGUAUGUAUCAUGCAUUAAAUGUAUGAGAAAGAAGGAAAGAAAAAUGAGAGACAACUUUUGACGGUGGAUCUCUUGGCUCACGUAUCGAUGAAGAACGCAGCCAGCUGCGAUAUGUAGUGUGAAUUGCAGAAUUCAGUGAAUCAUUGAAUCUUUGAACGCAAAUGGCGCUCUUGGGUUCUCCCAGGAGCAUGUCUGUCUGAGUGUCGGAUUUUAUCGAACGCACUCGUGAGUGCGGUAUUGAGGUGUCACGGCGUGUUAGCAAGCAAGCAAGCAUUAAAUCGCCGUGUCCCUUGAAGGACAGCAGCAUUGGACUCGCAUUCUCUAUUGAAACUUGAGUGCGAAGGCUAAAGAUAAUAUUUUCCUUCGCCCAAACAUGCAAUAGCAGAAACAAAAUCCAAUCAAAGCGGUGACAGACAAUGACAACAUCAAAUCUUGACCUCGGAUCAGGCAAGGCUACCCGCUGA
rnacentral:sRNA from 1 species